GAUGAACGCUGGCGGCGUGCCUAAUACAUGCAAGUCGAGCGAACGGACGAGAAGCUUGCUUCUCUGAUGUUAGCGGCGGACGGGUGAGUAACACGUGGAUAACCUACCUAUAAGACUGGGAUAACUUCGGGAAACCGGAGCUAAUACCGGAUAAUAUUUUGAACCGCAUGGUUCAAAAGUGAAAGACGGUCUUGCUGUCACUUAUAGAUGGAUCCGCGCUGCAUUAGCUAGUUGGUAAGGUAACGGCUUACCAAGGCAACGAUGCAUAGCCGACCUGAGAGGGUGAUCGGCCACACUGGCACUGAGACACGGUCCAGACUCCUACGGGAGGCAGCAGUAGGGAAUCUUCCGCAAAGGGCGAAAGCCUGACGGAGCAACGCCGCGUGAGUGAUGAAGGUCUUCGGAUCGUAAAACUCUGUUAUUAGGGAAGAACAUAUGUGUAAGUAACUGUGCACAUCUUGACGGUACCUAAUCAGAAAGCCACGGCUAACUACGUG
rnacentral:rRNA from 1 species